rnacentral:rRNA from 1 species
UGAACAUUGAGCCUUGAUGUGUAGGAUAGGUGGGAGGCUUUGAAGUGUGGACGCCAGUCUGCAUGGAGCCGACCUUGAAAUACCACCCUUUAAUGUUUGAUGUUCUAACGUGGACCCGUGAUCCGGGUUGCGGACAGUGUCUGGUGGGUAGUUUGACUGGGGCGGUCUCCUCCUAAAGAGUAACGGAGGAGCACGAAGGUUGGCUAAUCCUGGUCGGACAUCA